GACAUGGUGCAGGGUGAAGAGCACAGAUAAGGACCCUGCCGCCGCUCCACCGCCCGCCCCCAGGACUUCAUGCGGCAGGACGCGGGCUGAUGCCCUCCGCACGCCCUGCCAUGGACGGGGGGCAGCACUUCCCGCAGCAGGAGCACCAACAGCCGGGCAACGCGCUCUGCAGCCUCCCCGGCCUCCGCUCCCCGCUCCCUGCCCCAGCCAUGGAGAAUUCCAUGCUGGCUGCCGACUCCUGGAGUAGCUGCUACCCUGUCUCCUUCCCAACCUCGUCCUUCCCCAGUGAAAACCAGCAAUAUUUUAAUUCCCCUCACGAUUUUUAUAUGAAUUCCAUCAGCAGACCACAUUUCUUGGAUACAAACUAUGCAUCUGUGGACCCCACUGACUUCUUACCAAAAAAUGGUGAUUUUCCUCAGGUGAGUACACAGCUACUGAUGGCUUUGGGGGAGAGCGGUGCUUUGUGGUGAUGGGGUUUAUUUUUCAGUGUUGCCUUAUUGCGGGGAGAGGAAGAGAUGGGGAAUAUCUUAAAUUUGCCCAGCACCUGACGGUUGUGUGUGAUGGGGAGGGAUUCUCUGAUGGCAGCAGUUCAGAAGCUGUCCCCUGGUGCGGCAGGAGCUUGUCGGUGGUAAAAUUGCUUCUGUCUUUUAAAGUGGUGUUUAAGGCAAAUGCUGGAAGUGCACGGGAGAGCCCUGCUGCUGGGGGGCGUAGGUAAGUGUGAAUUUGAAUGUUUCAGUCAGUCGCAUCGUUUGCCUCCUGCACCUCUUCACGCGGGUGUGUGGUGUGUGCUCUCUCACUGCUCACCAGUGGUGGGUUCCUGCACAGGGAAUAUUUAGAGAUUACAUCAAGCCAGUGCCCAGCAAGCGGAGGUUGGAGCCAGUCUGUUCUCUGCAGAGCUGGGGUGUGGGAGGAGUGAGCGGUCACCGUGGUGUGUCCAGCCUCUCUAGGGACCAGGAGGUGAAGACUGACCUUCCCGGAUAUCCCAUGUGAAUUCUGAGCCUGCCUGUUCACCAGAGUCCCAGGCUGCUGGGAACCACGCACGGGAGGCGUGAGGGUGAUGUGGGGCAGGACAGAGGUGCUUCGUGCUGGCGUUGUGUUUUGUCACACCGAGGGACACUUCAGCAGUUAGGCUGCUCUCUGCUUUUCAGUGUAUUUUAUUUUCAGUAACUGCUGGCUGUCAAGGCAGAUGUAUAAACAGAAACUUUUUUCUUUGUAAUCUGUCUCUUCUUCCUGCGUGAUUCAUUAAUUGAUGCAUCAGCAAAUUGAUGCAUUUCCCCUCGUCUUGAGGCGGAUGUGUUAAUUCUCCCCUAAUUGUGCUUUUAUUUUCUUGGUGUGGCUAAAGGGGUUUUGAACCUCCUUGGGGCUCUGAUUUCUGCAGCUCUGGCCUUACACACGGUGGGGAUUUGUGCCUUUUGAGGUGAGCCCUGGUGUGGCAGCCCCAGCUCAUCCCCUGGAGUGAAGCUGCUGAGA
rnacentral:lncRNA from 1 species